GCAGGUUGCUUUAGGCCAUUUUCAGUCGGGUUGUGAACAUCUGCAAGCGUUGAGAUUGUGCAACCUCUUAGAUGGCCUGUUCCAGUCUCUGAUCCCCCCCUUAUCUAUAAAUUAGGGUUAUUUUUCAUUCCAUUCAGGUGACAUUUCCUGUCUUUCUGUCACCUUAGCCUGUCGGUUUGUGUCGCUCAGGUCUGGCUGUACGUUUUUUAGUCCUUCCCCAGUCCCUCUUUUCUCCAGGCUAAACAGUCCAAGCUCCCUCAGGCUUUCCUGGCAUGGGAGAUGCUUUGAGCUCUUGGCCACCUUCAGAGCUCCUCCCUGGAUUAACUCCAGCGUGUCCAUGCCUUGCUUGUGCUGGAGACCCAGUACUCCCAGCUUCAAGGUGUGCAGAGCUGGGAUAGGGUCUGGAAUAAAAGUUUUAAGGGUGGAGACUUCCACAUCAGGCUACUGCUGCCGGUGGAUUUGCAACUGAAAAGUGCCAGGAUAGAGUGCAGCUGGCGUCUGAAGAAGAUCCUGCGUGGAUGUCGGCACAUUUUAAAGCAGAGGCUGCAGAGCUGCCCAGAUCUUGUCAGAUUUGUGGUGGAACUGAAGACUGUUUUGGUGAGUGGCAGAAUAUAUGUGUGGGACAUGGGAGGCUCUUAGAGCUUUGGGUUUCACUUGCAGUUUUUACAGGUUACUGUUCCAUAGAUUUAUAGCUUUUUUUUUUUUUUUUUAAUAAAAAGAAGUGAUUUUGUAUAUAUGCUGUUCAUGUAACAGUUGUAUAAAUAUCUUAUUUAAGUGACUGUAUUCUUUGGAAUUUGGAGUAUUAUAGAAAAUUUAGAAUCCCAGCGAGGGAUCUCAGUAUAGAGAUCCUCUUUACAGUGAUUUUCUUGGAAUUCCUGUUAUUGUCUGGUUUAGGGCAAAUUUAGGAGAAAACCUCCAGUGGGGCUUCCCCCGCCCCGGGAAGCAAACCCACGUGGCCCUUUUCCCCCAACUGGUUCAGGAAGAGAUUUCUCUGAGAGAAGCGGAAAAAACCUGUUUAUUUCACAGGCACAGCACCACCCAGCACAAAAAUGAAUGAUAUCAAGUUACAAAACCUCUCGCCCUUCAGAAGAGAUGACAAACUUCAGAGGGUCUCUUUCCUGUGGGUGUUUGCUCUGUUAUCAGUCCCUUUGGCGCUGGAAAAUGCCACUGCCCAGGCUGGGCUCCCGGUAGUCCACGGGUGCAAGCUCCCGGUGCUCCCCCGAGUCCCCAGUCCAAAGCAGGUUCGAUUUGUUUCAGAAAAAGGGAAAGAAAACAGUCCAGGAAGACCUCUCUGCUCCGGCUAGUUGGAAAGCCAAGGCAAUCUGUGUCUGUCUGUCUGUCUGUCUGUCUGUGCUGUAGUCAAAACUCCCGAUGCGGGGGGAGCAAGUACAGCCUCUGAGAACAGACUCGGUGCUUCUUCUCCACUCACUUUUAGUCUCAGAUGGAAUUUUAAGAAUAUAAAACCUGUCUCUGGGUUAGGUGGACGAAUGGGGAUACAAUUUAACAUCAUAAUUAACCCAGGACAGGUGGGCUUUGAUAACAGCAGCUCUGGGCAGCUGAUAUCAGAGAAACGGAAAACUAUAACAAAAAUAGUUUUCUUGUGAGAAACUCCAUAAAUUAACAGAAAGGAACUUCUGUUUCUCUACAGAAACUGAGGAAAAGACUAUAGAAAGAAUUAAGAUUGUUUAAACCAUCAAAAUUCUAAAGUUUUUGUCUCUGUUGUCAUG